rnacentral:misc_RNA from 1 species
GAUGAAGAACGCAGCGAAAUGCGAUAAGUAAUGUGAAUUGCAGAAUUCAGUGAAUCAUCGAAUCUUUGAACGCACAUUGCGCCCGCCAGUAUUCUGGCGGGCAUGCCUGUUCGAGCGUCAUUACAACCCUCAGGCCCCCGGGCCUGGCGUUGGGGAUCGGCGGAGCCCCCCGUGGGCACACGCCGUCCCCCAAAUGCAGUGGCGGUCCCGCCGCAGCUUCCAUCGCGUAGUAGCUAACACCUCGCGACUGGAGAGCGGCGCGGCCACGCCGUAAAACACCCACCUCUUCUGAAGUUGACCUCGAAUCAGGUAGGAAUACCCGCUGAACUUAAGCAUAUCAAUAAGCGGAGGA